CUAGGUGUAGGAUAGUGGUAGAGUAAUUGCAUCGCGUGCACAAAGUCCUGGGUUUGAACCCCAGCACCAGA
rnacentral:tRNA from 1 species